GAUUUUUGAGAAAAGUACAAAUGUUGAUUCCACAUAGUUGUUAAUCAUGAUGUCAUCACAGUGGAAAUUCAAAAUUAAUGAUUUUUGAUUUUCUUAGCCAUGGAAUAAUAAUUAAAAUAGGAAACACUAUUUGUGACACCUGAUUCUAUAUCAAAAUCAUUUUAAUUUUCUUAUAACCAGUAUAGGUGCAUUUUUUAAAAUCCAAUCACAACCCACAUAGUUGAAAAUACAUAUUAAAAGUGCUCUUCAUUAGCUAAUUUUUAUCACAUCAAAUAUGAAGACCUUAAGAAUCUAUUUUAGUUAAUUUUGCAUAUUAAGAUGAACAAUUUCAAACAUAAUUUUUAAUCAAAUGAAUAUUUCUUAUCAGCAAAAAUGUAUCGGAUGUAAUGAUUUAGCACGGGUCUUUUAACCAAAAGUCUGUAUAGCUUACCUGAUCACCAUUUUUCUGUGAUCAUAAUGUCCGUUAUACUUGUUGUCUACAGAAUUUGGUAACUUGUGAACUUGAUUGAAAAUUGAAUUAUUGACACCUCUGCAGGUAUCGAGAUCAUUGCCAUCACCACAAAUUGAUAGUUGGUAGUUCAGCUUCAUUGAAUGAAAUAUAUUUACUUAAAUUUCAGUAUACAAGGAAUCUAUUCACUGAAAUUCCAAGAAGAUUCCAUGACUUGCUUGUCAUACAACAAACAACAGAAUAUGGACGUGAUUCCUAGAAUUAGAACUUGAAUGGGUCAGACUUGAAUACAUGCAAAGUCAUGUAGCAAUAUUAAAGGUGUUGUACUUCAGGAAAAGGGGAAGUGUAUUUGUUGGAAGAUGGAUAAAGAAAAAUUGGAGCAUGCACUAGACUUCUUUAAAUCCUGCUUUUUUAUCAGGUAACAUCAUUGAGUACAAAAGAAAUGUACCUUCACAGCAGACAACUUAUAACCUUUCGACAAGAAAUUGGGACUGCCUGCCAUUCAACCAUUGUACAUAUAUGAAUUUACCAGUCCUGUUGUGAAGAAACUUAUUUCAUCAUCUUUCAAGGGCCAUGUUAUUUAGGAUUUUAAUUACUUGUCCUGCAUCACAAGCUUAAAAAGACUUAUUAACCAGAUAAUGAGAUUGUUAUGAGAUUGAUCACUGUUCGUUAUCUUCACCUUGGAUAAUGACAAGAUUUCAUAGCUUGAGGAGUACCAGGAAAAUUUACUUGCAGCAAAAUUGUACAUAAAGAGAGACUCACUCAAGCAUGAAUGUAGAAUAAUUAUAAAGAUACAGUAGAGAGAGAGAGAGAGAGAGAGAGAGAGAGAGAGAGAGAGAGAGAGAGAGAAUUAUAUGGUGAUAUAAUUAAACUCAUUGUCUUCAAUGGGUAUGUCAUGUCAGUAGAGAAUCAUGAUUCAUAUGGUGAUAUUUUUCAAUUACAUACUCGUUUCAGUGCAAUGGCAUUGUACAAAUAAAUAUUUUAAGUGUUGUUAGGGAAAGUGGUUGCUAUGGUGAUAUGUGUAAACAUAUUGUCUUCCAUGGGUCCGACAUGUCAGUAAAUAAUUACAUGUUGAUAUAAUUGUAUUAUAUUCUCAUUUGAAGGCAAUUGGAAUUGUACAGUUUGAAAUGUUUGCUUGUUGCUAGGGAAAAUUGGCUGCUAUGGUGAUAUAGUUAAACCUGAUGUCUUCAUUGGAUUCAACAUAUCAGUAGAAAAUCAUAUAUUGGUAUAUUUGCAUUAGGUUCUCAUUCCAGUGCAAUUUAAUCAUACAACUUUAAAUUUUAUGUGCGUUGCUAAGAAAAAUCAGUUGCUAUGGUGAUAUGGUUGAAGUCUGAUUUCUCCAAUUGGUCUGAAAUGUCAAUAAAUUAAAGUGAACCCAGAUGAUUUGUAUUUAUUUUCAGUUAAUGGAAUCAUUUUAGUGCAUAUAUUGCAGAUAUUCUUGUUUUAUUGUGUUGGAAAUGGGCCUGAAAGAGUUGCCUAGCAACCGUUACUAUGUGCAUUUCCGACUCUUUUGAUUUUUAUUUUGAGUACGCUUAGUAUUGAUUGUUUAGAAAAUAUGUAUCAAAAUUUGGCACUUUUCGGAUAACUAAAGUAAUAUGUAUUUAAAAUACCUUAAAAUUGUCGAAUUUACAGAAAAUUGAUAAAUAUUAAAACAAUGCCUAUUCCAAAGUCCUCUACAGAUACCAUAUAAUAGUAUUUCAUUAGUAUUGUACAUUUUUAUGUUGAAGUAA